AAAACGGUGAGUUACCCCUUAAAAGUCCAGUGUGUAACGUAUUUAGUUGUUCAUUAUCAAAAUCGGUGUUGCCCAUUCA